rnacentral:rRNA from 1 species
ACUUGAAUUGAAGAGUUUGAUCAUGGCUCAGAUUGAACGCUGGCGGCAGGCUUAACACAUGCAAGUCGAACGGUAGCAGGAGAAAGGUUGCUUUCUUGCUGACGAGUGGCGGACGGGUGAGUAAUGCUUGGGAAUCUGGCUUAUGGAGGGGGAUAACGACGGGAAACUGUCGCUAAUACCGCGUAUUAUCGGAAGAUGAAAGUGCGGGACUGAGAGGCCGCAUGCCAUAGGAUGA